rnacentral:SRP_RNA from 1 species
UGCCGUGCUAAGCGGGGAGGUAGCGGUGCCCUGUACUCGCAAUCCGCUAUAGCGAGGCCGAAUCCCCAUCCGAGGUGAUGCGGCCUUAGGGUCUGCCUUAUGUGAGUGGUGUUGACACCCAGGUCCUGCGCAACGGGAACCAGUGAAUCCUGUCAGGUCCGGAAGGAAGCAGCAGUAAGCUGUCUCUCCCGUGUGCCGUGGGAGUGCCUGGGUCGAGCCAUAACCAUAAGUAACGCUUAGGGCCACAUCAUCGAAGAUGGGUGCACGGCA